GACGAACGCUGGCGGCGUGCUUAACACAUGCAAGUCGAACGGAAAGGCCUCUUUCGGGGGGUACUCGAGUGGCGAACGGGUGAGUAACACGUGAGUAACCUGCCCUUGACUUUGGGAUAACUUCAGGAAACUGGGGCUAAUACCGGAUAGGAGCUCCUGCUGCAUGGUGGGGGUUGGAAAGUUUCGGCGGUUGGGGAUGGACUCGCGGCUUAUCAGCUUGUUGGUGGGGUAGUGGCUUACCAAGGCUUUGACGGGUAGCCGGCCUGAGAGGGUGACCGGCCACAUUGGGACUGAGAUACGGCCCAGACGCCUACGGGAGGCAGCAGUGGGGAAUAUUGCACAAGGGGUGGAAGCCUGAUGCAGCAACGCCGUGUGCGGGAGGACGGCCUUCGGGUUGGAAACCGCUUUCGCUCAUGACGAAGCUUUGUGUGACGGUAGUGGGUAAAGAAGCACCGGCUAACUACGUG
rnacentral:rRNA from 1 species